GAUGAACGCUGGCGGCGUGCCUAAUACAUGCAAGUAGAACGCUGAAGGAGGAGCUUGCUCUUCUGGAUGAGUUGCGAACGGGUGAGUAACGCGUAGGUAACCUGCCUGGUAGCGGGGGAUAACUAUUGGAAACGAUAGCUAAUACCGCAUGACAACAGUUAUUGCAUGAUAACUGUUUAAAAGGGGCAACUGCUCCACUACCAGAUGGACCUGCGUUGUAUUAGCUAGUUGGUGAGGUAACGGCUCACCAAGGCGACGAUACAUAGCCGACCUGAGAGGGUGGUCGGCCAAACUGGGACGGGGACACGGCCCAGACUCCUACGGGAGGCAGCAGUAGGGAAUCUUCGGCAAUGGACGGAAGUCUGAGCGAGCAACGCCGCGUGAGUGAAGAAGGUUUUCGGAUCGUAAAGCUCUGUUGUAAGAGAAGAAAGAGUGUGAGAGUGGAAAGUUCACACUGUGACGGUAUCUGACCAGAAAGGGACGGCUAACUACGUG
rnacentral:rRNA from 1 species